rnacentral:lncRNA from 12 species
GUUCAAUUCUAGGAAAGCACUUGUCCUUGGAAUGCACUCUGAGAAGUCCAUGCUGCUUUGGGAAGGCCUGGCUGAAAUGGGGUCCUGGUUUAUUCCUGAAGGGAAUGGUUUUCAGCACCUCCAGGGGCUGUGUGUGUUCCUUCAGGGCCAAGCACAGGUUGGCUUUUAGAUGUCAUCACCUCCAUCAGCACUGUGUUCCCACUCUUUGGCUGGAUCCUCCCAUCCCAGGGGAGGGGAAGGAGCAGAUGGAAGGAGGAUUCCAUAUGAGAUAGAUUGUGGGAGGGAAUACAGGGCUCAGCUCCACAUUUCCAUCAUGCCCUGCUGCCUUGUCUGUGUCUUCUGUCCCUCCACAGCCUGGGCUGGCUGCACCUAGAGGCACAUUCCCCAUCCCAGACUGGAUGGUGAAGUUCUGGGGCUGCUCCAAGGAGUUUCAGCUCUUGGUGUGGGGGUUUUGGAAGGAGGGCUUUGCUCCCAGUGGCAGUCACGCUGAAGGCUGCUCCCAACCCUGGGACGUGGGUGAAAGUGUUGCCAAACAGCCAUUGUUCCAGGGAAACUUCUCUGAAAGCGCUGUGUAAACUUGGGUUUUUCCAAAGAAAAAUCUUGGGUUUUCAUGUGUUUAUCUCUCUGAACCUUUCUGCUCCAGGGCUGGGCAGUGAAGGAAGAAGGGAGAAGGGGCUGGUGCCAGGAGAAGAGUUUGCUCUGAGGACACGUGGAUUUGGAGUGGGAGCCUCCAGCUGGGAAGGGAAGCAGGCACCAGAGCCCAUCACUGGUUUUGGGCAGCUCCUGCAGCUUUGUCCUGAGCCACGGCAGCUCCCAAAGGAUGGAGAUACCAACCUUGCAGAGGGAGCUGAUGUCCA